rnacentral:piRNA from 1 species
UGGCAAACUAACAUCUUAGACGUCACCU